UUUUAAUAUUUUCAAAAAUUAAAAUUAUUUUUAAGACUGUAAAAGAAAUAAAAGUAUUCUAGAGAAUAAAGUUACAUAUAUUCAGAACAUUAAAAAUUAGAAAAAAUGGAAAAAUAAAAAAAAUAUAUAGAAAAAGAAUCCAACUUUUUUUUAAAGGUGUUACUAUCGUUUUGAAAUUUUAAUAUUUUAAAAGAAUCAACUUUUUAGGAUCUUAAAACAUAUUUAGACUAUUUUACCAAUAAAGACUCAUUUUUAAUUUUAUUUACGAAAAUAAACCACUUUUUUCAUUAUUUAUUGGAAUGUGCUGAAAACACCAAAACACGUCGACGUAGGACCAUUUUACCAAUCGCUCCUUCAGGAACGCGUUUCGGUGAAAUUUCCCCCUAAAACUCGUCCCUGAAGGAGCGAUUUUGUCAUUUCAGCACAAAACAAGUUGACGUGGACGCGCUUUGCUGAUGUGACAAAAUCGUUUCCUCAAGGAUGCGUUUUAGCCCGUAUUUUUGACGCUCAAUGGUCAUUUAAAAUUUUGACCAUUGGGGUCCAACGGUAAUAUAUAUAUUGUGGGUACCAAAUUUUGCCCAGGCCCAUUUACCUUUAAAGCCCAAAUUUUUUUAAAACCAAAGAUAAACCCCCAAAGAUCAAAAAUAGAACCAAAAUUAAAUUAAAAACAAAAUGAAAACAGAUCCAAUUUUGAAGCCCAAAUACUUAACCCUAACCCACAAACCCCAAAACGUCUUCAGCCAAGACCCUAGCCUCCAACUGCCUCCAUGCUUCUAUUACCCACGUUCUCCACCACCAAGCACGACCCACGUCCGUUAUACCUGCGACUUGAGCAAAGAGAUAAGAAGAAACUGUUUGUAUUUUGGCUAUAAAGCCUUCAUUUUUUUGUAACGAAAAGAAAACUUUUUUUUUGGAUAUACAAAAAGAAACACAAAAUCAGUGAGAAUAAUUAGAAGGUUUUUUUUUAAGGUGAGUUUUUGCUGUAAUUUAUUUCUGUUUUUUUUCCUUGAAAAAUAGAAGAUAAAAACAAUAUCAACACAUACAAAGAGAUAUAGCAACGAUUUUUGUUGAAGGUGAUUAAAAGCCUCAUUUUUUUUUAUUUGCCCUUUUCUUCGAUUUUUUUUCCUAUUGUACGUAAAUAAUAAGAGAAAGGAGGAGAAGCUUACCGGAGUCACUGUCGGAGGCUUUGCUGGGCGCGAGCAGAGGGCCAGGGUGCUAGUAUUUCGGCGAGGAAGCAAGGGGAGAAUGAGAGAUUGGAGAGCAUGAGGUUUUUUUUAAGAAAAAAAAACAAAUGGGUUUCAAGAUAGUUUUUUUUUAGAGUAGUAAAUGUUAACCAGUAGCAUUGGGAAGGGAAAAGUCAGUGGCUAGCUUGAUCCACGCGCAUUUGCUUUUUAAAUGGGGAAUUUUCACUUUUAAUCCCCCUUCUU
rnacentral:lncRNA from 1 species